UACAGAGGGGGGCAAGCGUUGUUCGGAAUUACUGGGCGUAAAGGGCGCGUAGGCGGCCCGCUAAGUCGAACGUGAAAUCCCCGAGCUCAACUCGGGAACUGCGUCCGAUACUGGCGGGCUUGAAUCCGGGAGAGGGAUGCGGAAUUCCAGGUGUAGCGGUGAAAUGCGUAGAUAUCUGGAGGAACACCGGUGGCGAAGGCGGCAUCCUGGACCGGCAUUGACGCUGAGGCGCGAAAGCUAGGGGAGCAAACGGG
rnacentral:rRNA from 1 species